AUUGAACGCUGGCGGCAUGCUUUACACAUGCAAGUCGAACGGUAACAGGCCGCAAGGUGCUGACGAGUGGCGAACGGGUGAGUAAUGCAUCGGAACGUGCCCAGUCGUGGGGGAUAACGCAGCGAAAGCUGCGCUAAUACCGCAUACGAUCUAUGGAUGAAAGCGGGGGACCGUAAGGCCUCGCGCGAUUGGAGCGGCCGAUGUCAGAUUAGGUAGUUGGUGGGGUAAAGGCUCACCAAGCCAACGAUCUGUAGCUGGUCUGAGAGGACGACCAGCCACACUGGGACGGAGACACGGCCCAGACUCCUACGGGAGGCAGCAGUGGGGAAUUUUGGACAAUGGGCGCAAGCCUGAUCCAGCAAUGCCGCGUGCAGGAAGAAGGCCUUCGGGUUGUAAACUGCUUUUGUACGGAACGAAACGGCUCUCUCUAAUACAGGGGGCUAAUGACGGUACCGUAAGAAUAAGCACCGGCUAACUACGUGCCAGCCGCCGCCGUAAAAC
rnacentral:rRNA from 1 species